rnacentral:lncRNA from 1 species
AAAAACAAAAAAAAGUGAGAUUUUAUAUAUAUUUUUCUCUCUCCUCCCUCUCUCCACACGCUCUCUCUCUCUCUCUCUCUCUCUCUCUCUCUCUCUCUCGCCUCUAUCUCAUCCUCCUUCCUCUCCCGGCUCCCACUCUCCUUUUCUUUUGUUAAUUAAUUUCAAUUUGGGAAUCUAGGAUUAUGAUUUUCUGAAUUUAAUUUCAAUUUUUUUAGAUCUUAAAAUAGUUUGGAGUUCAAUACCAAACAAGUUUUUAGAUCUUAAAUUCACUAUUUGAAAACUCAUGUUUUUAAACAGAAUCAUAGUUUUUUAAUUUACUCUUUUGAAUAGGAUACCAAACAAGGCCUUAGUGUCUGAAGAUGAAGGAAAGGAAAUGGAAGAUGAUGAUGAAGCGAGUUUCGGAUUGAAGAAGAAAAGAUUUCGGUCGAUUUCGGAUCUGUCCAAGUUGAUAGAGCCUCUUAAUCUUGUUAUUGUUGCGAAGGAAACAAAAAGGAAGAGGAGGAUGAUUAUGUCAAAUUAAUUAGACUUCCAAGUGGUUGUUGUUCUUGUAAUUAGCCUCACCCUUUAAGUGAAUGAUAUCUAUUUAUUAUUAUUCAUAUCAAACUUUUCUUGAGGAUGAACAUUCUCUCUUCGCUUCACUCUUCAAUUGGUUUCUUUAUUUUCUAUUUUGGUUCGAAAAAUUGGUCAAUUAAUAUCACAAUUAUCUCUAUUAUUAUAAAGCAAGGCCAAAAACAGUGGAGGUCACAGACUUCACCAAAAAAAUUUGGACGAAAACUCCCCCAAAACAAAAAAAAAAAUUCAUAACUAUCCUCCAACUUAAUCAAUCCCAUAACCUCCUUUAUAACUCAAAUAUCCUCUCUGAGUAGUUUUCUUUUGCCUCAUCCUCUCUCUAUAUUACAAGAUUAUAUGGUGGUGUUCCUUUUCUUCAAAUUAAAGGUAAGGAUUAUAAUAUCUCUCAAUUUUAUUUAGGCCUUUGAUUAUAGUUUGUUUGUUUCUAAUCGCCUUUGAUUUUAGUUUGUUGCAGGAAAUUGUAGAUGCAAAUCUCUGUUUGGCUUCUGAGAAGAUGAAGGAAAAGAAUCCAAAUAGUUGAAAGGUUCAAUCCGAUUGCAUUGUUGUUCUUUUUUCAGAAAUUAUAACAUGUGAAAGGGCUUAUAUGUUGUGAUUCAAAGCCUAGCUUGCUUAUUUUGUUUGUUUUCUUGUAUUGUUUCAUUGAAUUUUGGAAGAGAUUGAAGGCCAUCAUCAUGCAUGUUGUUCAGGAGCAUAUGAAGUCCUACUGCAUGCCUACUGCAUAUAAUUGAUUUACAAACAUUUAUGCCAUUGCCAGUAGCAAGAAAAAGGAACAUUGAUGUAGCUUUUCUUUCUUUAAUUUAAGAAUUCACAUAUUUGUUUUUGUUCAUUAAGAAUUGACUGAUUUAUUUUUUCUUUCCACUUUUAUGUUCAGUUUUUUUGUUCAUUUAAUUUUUUACUUCUGCAAAGGCAGCAAUUAAUGUGUAGUUUAACCAUAACUUUGCCAUACUACAUAACAUUAGAACCUCAACCCUUUUGCAGAUGAUGCACAAUCUUUAAGUGGUGCAUAGCACAAAUGAAGGACUCUCACGGGUGUAGGAGCGCUUGUAGAGAGGCUAAUAUUAUAAUAUAUCAACAGUCACUAUUUCAAUAGGCAACUUCCUUUCUUGGGAAGCAAUUAAACCUUUUAUUAAAAAAAUAAUUACUGAAAAUGCCCCAAGAGAGGUCACCAUGAUUCCAACCAACUACCAAAAAAAAAAAAACUCGCUAUAUUUCUAUUAAGCUUCGGGCUGUUGUGUGCAAAUAGAUUUGAAUUCUACUUGGGAUGCUAAAAAUCCUAUCGGGACUCAAACCCCAAACGAGGAGAUUUCAGGGGAAAAUCAAGGACGGAUGUGGAGAUCAUCGAAUUUUAAAAGUUGAUGAUCGGCAAUAGACCAAAGAUGGUAUUUUUAUUCCCGUCUUCGGAUUCACUAUUUCCUACACACAUGUUACGUAGAGUCGCUCUUCAUUGCUACAUGACUACACCAUAACUCCUUCGACACUCUUCGGCCCUGUUUGAGAUUGCUAUCACUUUUAAAGAAGUUGCUUCUAUUGUCCUUUGAAAAUAAUUAGCUGUAAAGUAAAGCAGCUCCAUGUUUGGUAAAUAAUAUUUUUAAACUGCUG